UUUUUUUUAUUGAAAAAUAGCCCUAAUUUGCCCUUUGUGGUCUUUUAUUUGAAACUAACAAAUAUCAAAAUAUCUCAAUUGCUUUCAAAUUUUUGUGUAUCAGUUUGAAUAUUAAUUUAUCUAUCAACGGUCAACGGUCAACGGUCAACUUUGACCGGACUCGGCGAGUGCACUAGAGCCACUCGACGAGUCUAUACGUGUUCACUGACUCCCUAGGAUCCUCUCUUGACACGUCGAGUACUCUCCUAACUCGACGAGUUCCACCUGGCAUGAGUCGCGGGGCCACCACGACUCAACUCGCCGAGUCUCAAGAACAACUCGGCGAGUUCCAGCUUGACUCAGUCCACUCGACAACCCUCUCUGACUCACUGAGUCAACCCCUUAACUCGGCAAGACCACUCGCUGAGUGGUUAAGGACAAUCUUCAUGCUACUCGCCGAGUCUGUUCUUCGGACUCGGCGAGUCUAAGCCAUGCAUGAACUCAAACUCACUCCUGAGGUCAGAUCCGUUCCAGUAACUCAUAGAUCCAGUCCUUCCAAGCACAUUUAUCACGUAAAGUUACAAUCUUGGCUACCAUGCAACGCCUACAAGGCUUCUUUUGGUGAAAUGACAUCUAAAAUGGUAACCUAAGUCCCCAACUCAAAAGGAAAGGCAUAAAGCAGAGCAUUUGGGACUCUCUGGACCUACUAAGGUCCAGAUCUAGGUACCAUUUCCCCAUGGGACCUCUCACACUCCAAUUACAAGGCAAACAAGGCAUGAAGAAACCCUAGAUUUGACCAUAUCAAUAAAAACACGAGAAUAAGCUCUGAAUAUUACCUCAAAUAGCUUCCUCUGCCGAAAUGGAAGUAGAUCCAAGCUCCCCAACUCUCCUAGCUUGGCCUUCCUCUUCCUUUCUUGCAAACACACACAAAGAUGGUGAAUAAUGGCCUCUUAUCUCACUCACAAGGACUCUCAGAUGCUCUGGUGCUCUCAAGGUCGAAGGUAGCCGCAAUGAAGGGUUAUAAGGUCCUUUAAAUAGGGCUCAGACCCGGGAAAUUAGGGUUUCAUUAAACAGCGUGGACUCGCCGAGUCCACUCUUGGACUCGCCGAGUCCGGACGCGAACCCGCGUCCAAAUCCGCGAUCAUACUCGGCGAGUCUAGGCUCCAACUCGCCGAGUCUCCUCACAAAUUACCAAAAAUAAAUAAAUGAAUAAUACCUGGGAAUCCGGGCUGUUACAAUUCUCCCCCACUAGAACUAGACUUCGCCCUCGAAGUCUCGCUCUGCAAAUAACUCUGGAUGCUGCUCACGCAUCUCACGCUCCGGUUCCCAAGUCAUCUCGGACCCCUUCCGAUGCUGCCACUGAACCAAAACCAGGGGUACCUCCUUGUUCCUCAGAACCUUGAUUUUCCGAUCUCUGAUGGCCACUGGUCUCUCGGCAUAAUUCAGGCUCGCAUCCACCUGAAUAUCCUCUAAUGGAACCACUGCCGACUCAUCGGCUAUACACUUCCUCAAUUGCGACACAUGAAAAGUGUCGUGGAUCUGCCCCAACUCUGCUGGCAACUCCAAACGAUAGGCUACCCGGCCUACCCUCGCAAUCACACGAAAUGGCCCAAUAUACCGGGGCCCCAACUUGCCCCUCUUCCUGAAUCGAAUCACUCCUUUCCAAGGAGAGACCUUCAGGAGUACGAAGUCGCCGACCUGAAACUCAAGCUCGGACCGGCGUCUGUCUGCAUAACUCUUCUGACGACUCUGAGCGGUCAACAACCUCUGUCUGACCUGCUGGAUCUGCUCUGUCGUCUGAAGCACGAUCUCUGUACUGCCCAUCACACGCUGUCCAACCUCUCCCCAACAAAUGGGGGUCCGACACCUCCUCCCAUACAACAGCUCAAAGGGCGGCAUACCAAUGCUCGAAUGAUGGCUGUUGUUGUAGGAAAACUCUGCCAAGGGUAAAUACGCAUCCCAGCUACCCCCGAAAUCCAACACACAUGCCCGGAGCAUGUCCUCAAGCGUCUGAAUCGUCCGCUCACUCUGACCGUCUGUCUGGGGAUGAUAUGCGGUACUAAAAUGCAGUCUAGUACCCAACUCCUCAUGAAAUUUCUUCCAGAAUCUGGAAGUGAAACGCACAUCACGGUCUGAAACAAUCGAGAUCGGCACCCCAUGCCGAGAUACCACUUCCCUCACAUACACCUCCGCCAAUUUCUCUGCUGAAGAACUCUCACUGAUAGCAAGGAAGUGAGCGCUCUUCGUCAACCUGUCCACAAUCACCCAAAUUGCAUCAACUCCCCUGGCAGUCCUUGGCAAUUUGGUGAUGAAACCCAUAGUGAUCUGUUCCCACUUCCACUCGGGAACCUCCAAUGGCUGCAACUUGCCAUGCGGUCUCUGGUACUCGGCCUUAACCCUACGGCAGGUCAAGCACCUCUCAACAAACCACGCAACAUCCCUCUUCAUACAGGGACACCAAUACUCCUUCCUCAGGUCCAAAUACAUCUUAGUGGCCCCAGGAUGGAUCGAAAAUUUCGACCGAUGAGCCUCUUCCAUCAAAAUGGUACGCGUUCCUCCCACAAACGGCACCCAGAUACGCCCCUGGAAUGUCAUAAGCCCCCGACCAUCGGUAACGAACUCUGAAAUCAAUCCAAAUGAAGAACUUGAAGAAACGUAAUACGAAACAAAGCACGUCUGGUGGUGAAAGGAUACUGUCAGGAGGAAGGAAUCGACUAUGAGGAAACUUUUGCUCCUGUAGCUAGGCUGGAUUCUGUUAGAAUAUUUCUUGCCUAUGCUGCACACAAAAACUUUGAGGGCUACCAAAUGGAUGUCAAGUGCGCAUUUCUAAAUGAAGAACUUGAAGAAACAGUGUACGUGGAGCAACCUCCUGGAUUCGUAAAUGAAAGGUACCCCAAUCAUUGUUACAUUUUGGACAAAGCCGUAUAUGGACUGAAACAAGCUCCGAGAGCCUGGUAUGAAUAGCUAACCAAGUUUUUAAAGAUGUCCAAAUUCAAACAAGGUUCGGUUGACCCAACCUUCUUUCGUAAGAAGGAAGGUAACCACCUUAUGAUUGUUCAAAUUUAUGUCGAUGAUAUCAUCUUUGGCUCAACGAAUCCUAGCUUAACGGCUGAAUUCAGAAAGCUGAUGGAGACUAAAUUUGAAAUGAGCUCAAUGGGUCCAAUUAACUUUUUCCUUGGUUUAAACAUUAGACAGGGACCCGAAGGCAUCUUUAUUAAUCAGGAAGCUUACACGAAGACUCUCCUUGCAAAAUUUGGCAUGAUGGGAGAUUCAAUGGUUAUCACAUUUAUUCUAAUCAUGAGCUACCUAACUCUCUUCUCACAUGAGAUAAGAGUUUUCUGCUUGGUCCUAUUUUUCACAGCAGAGGUACUUUGAUUUCUUACACCAUCUACGUUACAUUUCUCCAUCACAUUCGUUUCACAAACGUAACCCUUGAGACUCUCAGAAAUUACCACUGAGGUUUAUGGUUACACAAUUACUGUGUUCAUGAUCUUAGUUUCGUGCCACUACGAGCUAAGUGAAACCCACAAUUCAAUACCCAAUACAAAUUGAAGGUGAACAAUUAAUUUGCUCUAGUUUUCACUAUUGAAUUGACGGACGUAUCUUCAUGAAAUCUCAAAAUUUUCUUUUGUGUGAUUCCUAUGAAAUUGUUACAACCAAUAACAUUUCUUCCCUUGGGAUCCAGUUUUAAUUUUUUUUGAGAUUUUAUAUUCCUAGCCAAUUUAAAUUAUUCCGAACCUACUUGUUCAACAGACUACACCGGUCUCACAAGUACUUCGUUCACUUUCUAUCUUAUAUCAAGAUUAGGAAUGUUGAAUCGAAGCGAAAGCCACCCUACUAAGCCUAAUUAAAAGAAGCCUUUCAAUACUUCUUAAUAAGUGUUUGAUCGUUAUUCAAAGGGAAACCACAUAAACACUUUAAGGUCUCUCUUAACUUUGAAGAAAGAGAUUCGUGCCCGGGAUCAUUAAUUUCGUGCCUUUAUUGACAUCACAUUUUUCCCUAAAAGUAUUGCUUUAUUUUUUUUCUUUUACACCCUUAGCACGAAAAUCUUUGCUUUUCCAAAAUCCAGGUUCUAUUAAUUACAGGCAUUUUCAUUGGAUUAAUGGUUGAUUAAAGGCUGUGGUUGAUUUUAAUCCACGUGGGAGUAUUCUUCAAAAGAUGUCGUUACAAUUUAAAGGGAUAAGGUGACGACUUGCUGACUCAGGCGGGAGUCUAAUCGAUUUGAUUUCAAACGGCGCAAAAAGGGAAAGCAUGCGAAUCGGAACCGUCUCAUCUCCAAAUGGCGCAGAGGGGCGCAUGUGAAUUUGAACCGGUUCAUAUCCAAACGGCACAUGAUGGGAGGCGUGUUCUUAGGGGUCUGUCAUUCUAUCUCACGCGUGAUCAUCGGCAACCCCAACUGUCACGCAUCAGUCAACUCCGAAAAACCCUUUGAUUUUCAAUCGAAGAUUUGGGAAGAUCUUUCUCUCUCCUAAAACCCCAGUAUAAAAGGCAACAUAAUCCUUUAUUUACCUCUUUACCAUAAUUAAAAUUCCCAGAGAGCAAAAAUUCCUUCAUACUUCCCUGUUCAUCAUCUUCUCCACUGUCUUCAAGCAAUGACAGAUUCAUCUUCUGUUCACACAACAUCCCACAUACUGCCCAUUCGCCCACAACAAAGCCUCAUCAUUGAUUUAACCCCUCAUGCUUACGAUGCCUUCAUGUUCCCCAUUAUCGAGUGCUUGAAGUUUUCUCCGAUCGCUCCUGCACUUACAAGAGCUGAAUCUGUUCCGAUGGAGUUCUUGUCGCAAAUCUUUGCGACUGCUCAUUAUGACAAGGUCGUUGACAGAAUCUUCUUUGAUGUUUUUCAGCACAAGGCAUCAAUUUCAAAGCAAAGGUUUUGCUCGCUGUUAGGGUUUGAACCUGAUUCUACGAGGGUUAACCCUGAAACGAUUCCAAUGGGGCACUUGUUCAACAUGUUUUAUAACAUGGGUUAUACGGAGGUGCUUACUACAGUCACGAAGUUCAAGAAGUCGUGCCUACCUCCACAGUGGAACGGGAUGUUCACUAUUCUAUUCAAAGGGUUAUCUGAAAGAAGUGCUGGAUCUGAUGGUGCCAGUCGGUUAUUUCUGUUAAUAAUGUGUGGUAUCUACAAUGGCAUAAACGUAGAUUAUGAGUCUGUUCUAUGGCAACAACUUAUCCAGAGUCUCUCCUCUACCUCCAGACAUUCAGAGAUUUCAUACGCUAGGUUCUGGACUCUGAUCACGAAAUGGGUGAUGGACAAGUACCACGUCCCCAUUGUCGCUGGUGCUCCAAUGUCUUCGAUUGGUACAUUCCAUACCAUGAAGAUCAUUGUCUCGGACGCUUCCAAGUUUCCGUUCAACGGUUCCAUUCCGGAAACUAUGUAUGGCGAUGUUCCUGCUAAUAGUCGGAUUAUCAGGACAUACAAAGAAUUCAAGCGUUCUGGUCUGAGGGAUUUCACUCCGGAGAUGUUGAAGUCCAUUCAUGACGCCGACAAGCCUGCUCCAAGAGGCAAGAAGGCUGAUAAGGGGAAACAGGUGGCAAAAGGAGCUAAAGGCCCAUCUCCAAAGAAGAGGAAACCAACCAAGGCUGCUCAGUCUCCGCAGCAAAAGCGACGAAAAACUCAGCCGAAGCGAAAGUUGAUCAUCGCUUCCUCCUCAAGCGAGUCUGAGGGUGAGAGUUCGGAUUCUGACGACUCUCCACGAGGCAACACUCCACCCAGAUCUCCUACCCCAGAAGUUCAUGCCUCUACUUCUCCAAUUCUCUCUCCACCUAAAACCAUUCCUUUUUCUAUUCCCCCCAUAACUUCCACUACUUCAAUACCACCCACUUCAAUCCCAAUACCACCACCAAUAUUCACCGACGCAACCACAACAUCCACUGCAAAUGUUAGAUCCAACGUAUCUGAUACGAGGGUUCAUACUGAUGCACCCAAAACCACUCAAGCACCCGAAACCACAAAAGCACCCGAACCUACCCCCACCCCAACACCCGAAACAACCCAACCCGAACCUACCCAUACUACUGCACCACCAGCUUCACCACCACCACCUUCUCCUGGUCAUGCUUCAGAGGGAGAAGAACCACUCCUUGGCGGGGAGGAUAUGACGUUUGACUCGGUCUACUAUAGUCCGUUUCAAGUACAGAGUGAUGACGAUGACGACGCUCCUGUCACAAAAAGACAUCUCAAGGAGCUCCAUGACAAGAUUGACUUGCUCAUCGCCUCCUCUUCCACUUCUCAGUCAUCCCUUUCUGAAGAUGCAGUUCAGAAGAUUGUUGACGCCUUCUCUAAAGCUCAGCAAGAUUCCAUUGCUUCUGCAACCUCCGCCAUAGAUGCCUCAACAAAAGCCUGUCAGGCUGCGACCGAAAAAGUCGAUAAACUAUUUUCUGAUGCCUCUUCCCUGUUAAAGUCUUUACAGGAGAGUGCAAAUGCUGCCAAGACUACGUUGGAACCAAUUGUUCACCAGCUAGCAACGUCAGUCUCCACUGAGUUGAAGUCCUUCGCUUCUUUUCGUCAAAUGCUUUCAGACGACAACUCAGCCUUUCGCACAACCAUUGACGAGCGUCUCUCGAAGCUACAAGAAGAUUUGGCUGCCGAGAACUCUCUUAUGGAUGUUCUUGCCAAGAAGACCACUGCUCUGAAGGUCAAGAGCGUUCAACUCUCCCACUCUCAACAGGAGAUUGACUCUCUUCGGUCCGAAAGGGAGGUGAUAAAGUCGUGUGUUUCGGAUGUCCACUCUGCCAUCUCCAACAUCCUCGAAGCACAUGAUCCUAUUCUUAACUAUACUGUGAGGCGUGACCUUGCAGAGAAGCUCGCUCCCGCCCUUGCCCUGCUCAGCAAACUCGAAGGGCUACUUGAUUUCGUGUCCAUUCCGAAACAAGGGGGAGAGAAGGAAUCUAUGUCCCAACCACCUCCUACCUCAAAGGCAACUCACACUACCGAACCUCCUCCAGUAGGCCAAGCCUCCGGUUCUGGUGUGAAAGAUAAAGGCAAGAAGAUUGCUGAGGAGGACGAAGAUGAAGACCAAGAGACUAUCGCUAAUUUGUUAAAGCGAAAAAGUCGAAAUGAUGAUGCUGAUAUCAGUGCUCGUGUGGCUAGAGAAGCUGAAGAAGCAGAAAGAAAACAGAAGGAAGCCCACAACCUUCUUGAGAGUAGGAAAACUCUUUUUCCUGCCUGGACUCUCGAGAGGAUGAUAAAAGAAGCCAUUGACACUCCGAGUAUCUUGUGGCUGGAACCUGUAAUCUCACUUGAUUGUUCCAACACUGUCGACUCUUAAUUCGACAUGCCUCUGACCCGAAAGGCGUUCAUCUUUCACGCCUUCUCCAACGUUUCAGAGUUCCCUCAUCCUCAUCCACAGGUUGAUCGGGACUUGAUCAAUUUUUAGCUGAAGGCUGCUCAACCUCAAUAUCAGACUUGGAGCGCUCAGAAAAUUGUAAACGUUCGGGUCUUGAAGGCGUACAGUGAAGGGAACUUCAUCAACAUUUGGUUCAAGAUACUUCGGGGAUCUGCCAAAACCGAACAUGCCAUUUCUCUUGCAGAUCUUCCGAACCUUAAUCCCCAUGAUUGGAUAAUCUUGCACAAUAUCCUUCUAACCAAUGAAGCUGAAUACGGUCCAAUUAUUGACCAUUUCAAGAGGAUGCUCAUGUGCUACAUCAUGGAAGUUGUGCUGAUGUAUCAGGAGAUAGCGAGCGUAUUUAAGAAGAAACCAACAAUAUCUCCUGUUGGCUCAGCCAGUGAUCUCAACCAAAUGCAGAUGGGGAAAAUUGACUUGAGAAGGAAUUCGGUCAUGUUCACCAGGAACGAAUGACAGAAAUGUCUUUUUGCCUUGGCUGACAAACAUCUAUACACUACUACUUGCUUAGAGCAUGUUUUGGGGAUCAUCCACAGAUGCAAGCAAAACACAGCGGAUGAUGUCAAGUACUUCGAUGACAUGAUACAUUGGUACGUUUGGUUCAGACAGACGAUUCUUGCGCUAAUCUCUCGUCUGUUUGAUACCACGAAGAAAGUUCCCGCUGCUAGCCCAAGCAAGAAGAAGAAGUAGUCUCGCUCCAAUUUGACGCAAAGUGGGAGAUUGUUGGGUCGUGUUUUGUAUGUUGCGUCUAUUGGGCUCGUUAGUUAGUCCGUUUUUGUAUCUCCGGUAUGGGCCUGUCCAUCCGUGAGUAUAGUAGGGUUUAUUAUAAAUAUAGGUGCUUGCAUGCAUCUUAGAGAUACGAUAGUAACGAUAGAACAGAUUGAUCAGAGCAUUAUUCAGAAGUUUAUUAUCGUUCUUGUAACCCUAAAUCCUCUACAUCGGAAGUUCUUAGUCGAGCUCUGCUGAGGAUUAUUUGAUCUAAUCAUUCGACAUAUUUUGAUCCAUUCUUGUCGUAUUAAUUGCUUUGUGUUCAUCGUAAUACCUGUUACAAAGAUCUAAUCGAUCUUCAAGUUUGUUUUAUAACUUAUCAAGAAGUGAUGAAAGGCAUCUUUUAAUGAGGCUUAGAGGGGUGGCUUUCGCUUCAGUUCAGAAUUUCAGAUCUUGACAUAAGAUAGAAACCGAAUGAAGUACUUGUGAGACCAAUGAGGGCUGUUGAACAAGUAGGUUUGGACGGUACUUUAGUGACUUGUUGGAAAUGCUUGGUGUGCAAUCUCAAGAAAAUUUAAAACUGGAUUCUAAGGGAAGAAAUGUUAUGGUAUGUAACAAUUUCAUAAGAAUCACACAAAAAGAAAAAUAAAGAUUUCAUGGUACAACCACUUGGGUGGAUUCGUUAAUUCAUGAGUGAAAGUUAGAGCAAAUUUAAUUGUUCACCAUUAAUGCAUAGUGGGUAUUGAAUUGUGGGUUUCCCUUAGCACGUUGUGACACGAAGUUAAGAUCACAAACACAGAGAUUGUGUAACCAUAAACCUCAGUGGUAAUUUCUGAGAGUCUCAAGGGUUAUAUGUGUGAAGCGAAUAUGAUAGAGAAAAAUGUUUGAGGUGGUGUAAGGAAACCAAAGUACCUCUGCUAUUAAAAUAGUGACCAAGCAGAAAACUCUUAACUCAUAUGAGAAAAUAGUAAGGUAGCUCAUGAUUAGAAUAAAUAUGGCAGCCUAAUUGGGAAGACAAGGUUCGUAUAUACCCAAUCAAUAAGGCUCUAUUCAAAAUCAGUUGAGGCUUUGGACAACAUGCAGUAGCAUGCUUCUAAGGACACUUAGCAAGUAUAAAGUGUGUGAAUGAUACCUGCCCCAUCGAUAUACCAGAAACUGUUAACAUAAACAGAAGUAGAGACAAAAGAAAGAAAAUAUUUUUGAAAUUUUCGAUAUUUUUGAAAAGAGAAAAACAAAACAAACCAAUUUUUUUUUGAACCGAACCAGAAAUGGACCGAACGCUCGGUUCAUUUCGGUUCCUUAAAAAAUAUAUUUUUGGAAUUUUGAAUUUUAGAAAACAAUUGUACAAAAGUAUACAACCAAAGACAUCACCUUUUGAGAUAAGCGAAAACAAGUGUAGUGGGACCGAACCCGAAAUAGACCGAGAGUUUGGUUCAUUUUGGUUCUCGUGUGAACCGAGCCCGAAAUAGACCGAACGUUCGGUUCAUUUCGCUUCCAACUUUUAGUUUUGAGAAGGUGUUUUUGGUACUGACUCCAAUUCCAUCAUACCUAAGCCUUGUAGGAUUUUAUUAAAACUUGCUUCAGGAAGGGCUUUGGUGAAGAUGUUGGCCAACUGAUAAUUGGUUUGAACAAAGUGAAUUUCUACGUUUCCAUCUUCCACAUGAUCCUUAAUAAAGUGAUACCUCAGUGCUAUAUGCUUGGUCUUGGAAUGUUGCACUGGGUUAUGACAAAUCCUAAUUGCACUUUCUGAGUCGCAAUAUGGUGGGAUCAUUUUCAUAUUGAGUCCAUAAUCCCGAAGUUGGCUUUGGAUCCAAAUCACUUGAGAUGUGCAAGAGGCAGCUGCAAUGUACUCUGCUUCGGCUGUAGACAGAGAAACACAUGUUUGUUUCUUAGAUUUCCAGCUCACUAACUUCCCGUCGAGGAAUUGACAUCCUCCUGUAGUGAUUUUUCGUUCUAGACCACAUCCUCCUAGGUCUGCAUCUGAGUAGGCUUGAACGAAGAAACCUGAGUUUGAGGGAUACCAGAGACCGAGAGAGGUGGGUCGCUUCAAAUACCAGAAUAUAUUCUUACUGCCAACAUGUGUGGUUCACGAGGAGUUGCUUGAAACCUGGCACAAUAGCACACUGAAAACAUUAUAUCGGGCCUGCUAGCUGUGAGGUACAUCAGGGAACCAAUCAUUUGGUGAUAAAGUGUUAUGUCGACAGCCGGUUUUUCCAAAGAUGGUGUGAGCUUGGUGCCGAACGCCAUAGGGACUUUGACAUUGGAGUCUCCCGUCAUGCCAAAUUUAGCAAGGAGAGUCUUUGUAUAUGCUUCCUGGUUGAUAAAGAUGCCAUCGGGUCCCUGUCUAAUAUUUAAACCAAGGAAAAAGUUAAUCGGACCCAUUGAGCUCAUUUCAAAUUUAGUCUCCAUCAACUUUAUGAAUUCAUCUGUUAGGCUAGGAUUUGUUGAGCCAAAGAUGAUAUCAUCGACAUAGAUUUGAACGAUCUUAAGGUGGUUACCUUCCUUUUUACGAAAGAAGGUUGGGUCAACCGAACCUUGUUUGAAUUUAGACAUCUUUAAAAACUUAGUUAAUGUUUCAUACCAUGCCCUAGGUGCUUGUUUCAGACCAUAAACAACCUUAUCUAAGAUGUAGCAGUGAUCUGGAUGCUUUUCAUUUACAAAACAAGGAGGUUGCUCCACGCACACAGUUUCUUCAAGUUCGCCAUUCAGAAACGCACACUUCACAUCCAUCUGGUAAACCUCAAAAAAAAUUUGUGCAGCAUAGGCAAGAAAUAUUUGAACGGAUUCCAGCCUUGCUACCGGAGCGAAUGUCUCUUCAUAAUCGAUUCCUUCUUCCUGGAAAUAUCCUUUCACCACUAGCCAAGCCUUAAUCCGGAUUACAUUUCCCUCCUUGUCCAUUUUGUUUCUGAACACCCAUUUGAGACCGACAACUGAGGCAUCUUUUGGUGUUGGAAUGAGUCUCCAGACCGUAUUUCUUUCAAACUCAUUAAGUUCGUCUUGCAUUUCCUGAACCCAAUCAGAAUGAUCGAGAGCAAUAUUGACGGUCUUCGGCUCUAUUUUGGAGAUGAAAGAAUUAUACAUGCAGAAUUCUACUUUGGAGAAUAAAGCAAUUUGCUUCGCCUUCAGUUGUGAUCGAGUUAGAACCUUUUAUAAUGCAUCACCCACUAUUUGAGAUACAAGAUGAUCUCUGGUCCAUUUGGUGAGAGCAGGAUAAUUUGGAUCAUAGGAUGGAUCCAAUUCAGCAUUUACCAUUUCAUCCAACUCUGAUUGAAUAUCAUCAUCAUAGAGCAUAUUCGAGUUCUCCCCCUCGACAGAUGAUGAACCAUUUGGAUGUGAACCAAAAAAUCUUUCUUCGACUGGGCUUUCGGGUUGAUCUGGACUUUCGGUUGCUACAGGACUUUCGGGUGCAACUUGGCUUUCGGGUGCUUCAGAACUUUCGAGUACAACUUGGCUUUCGGGUGCUACAGGACUUUCGGGUCCAUCAAAGAUUGGAUUCUCCCCCUGGAUAUGUGAGUCCUGUUGAUUUGAAGAAAAUUGAUUCUCCCUCUCGACCGAAGUACCGCUCUGGGGAGGUUCGUUUCGAACUGGUUCUUCUUCUCCCAUUUGGUUGGUUGUAUCUUCAACAAUCUUUUUAAGGUGAUCAAUCUUGUUGUCUGCUUUCGUGGCUUCAGAAUGAGUGGCUUUCUCAGGUUCAUCAAAUAAAUCCAUGAACUGGUCAAAGAAAUUGGCGAUUGAGGCUGUGAAUUGACCUGUUUGAGAGAAAAUAUCUCCAAUUGCUUCUUCGGUAGACUUCAACUUCUUGAUGUAUUAUUAUCGAAAGUAACAUAAUAGGUUUCUUCAAUUCUUUUAGAACGCUUAUUCAAAACCCUAUAUGCCUUUGAAGUAAGAGAAUAUCCCAUAAAGAUACCUUCAUCAGCUUUGACAUCAAACUUGUUGCGAUGUUCUUUGGAAUUGAAGAUGAAGCACCUUGAACUGAACACGUGAAAGAACCUGACAUUCGGCUUCCUAUUGUUAAUAAUCUCAUAAGGGGUGAGAGAGAAGCUCUUGUUGAGAUAAGAUCUAUUUUGAGUGAAACAAGCUGCAACAAUGGCAUCCGGCCAGAAAUAUAGAGGAAGUGAGGCAAAACUCAGCAUGGUUCUAGCCGCCUCACAUAGGGAUCGGUUUCGCCUUUCGACAAUUCCGUUUUGUUGAGGUGUAUAGGGGGCUGAGAAAUUGUGACGGGUGCCUUUUUCUGCUAAGAAAUCUUUGAAUUCUUUGUUCUUGAAUUCCAGUCCAUUGUCGCUCCUAACGUUUUGAACGACUUUUCUCAGUUGCAAUUCAAUUUACUUGAUAAACAUCUUUAACUUAGGAGUGGCCUCAGAUUUGUGUUUCAGAAAGAAUACCCAUGUCAAACGUGAGAAUUCAUCAACAACAAAAAGAAUGUACUUGCUACCGCCAAUGCUCUCGAUUGAUGAUGGACCACACAAGUCGAUGUGAAGCAACUCAAGUGCUUCAACAAAUUUGGUGUUUAUGAUUGUUGGGUGACUUUGGCGACUUUGUUUCCCCAUUUCACAUGUAGCACAUUAGUGUUCUCGAUCGAACUUAAGCAGUGGAAGUCCCCGAACAUGACCACCGGUGACUAGCUUGUUGAUGUCUUUGAAGUUGAGAUGUGAGAGCCUUCGGUGCCACAACCAACUUUCGUCUGAAUGGGCUUUGGACAAAAGACAUAUGGUUGGAUUCCCUUUGAUUGGUCUGAGAUUCAGAGAGAACAUUUCACCUUUUCGUUCAGACUUGAGAAUAACUUUGUUGGAUUUCUUCUCUAUUAUCUCUAAACCUUCAUCAUCGAACGAGACUUUGAGACUUGUACCUCCCACCAAUUGAAAUGCACUGAUGAGGUUAUGCUGCAAUCCCUCUACAUUAAGGUGCGAAGGGAAUGUAAAAACAACAAUAGUUCCACAUUAAGGUCCUUAUAUGGAAUGUCAGAAAGAUCGGUAAAGUCGAGAAGCAUAGAGAGGCCUUUUAGAGCACAAGAGGCAGAUUUUAUUGGCUUGGUGGAAAGCAAAGUGAGNUUGGUGCUUUUCAAAGAAAAAAGGAAAAAGCAGCCCGCUGAAUUAGGACCUUGGAUUAUUCUGAUUGGAUCUCUAACCGUGUCCGUACCGAAAAAGGAUGGGAAGGACUUUUUCCGGUGUAGAUUUUAUCAACUCGGUAAGGCGAAGAACAACCAAAAAUUCCCGAUAAAAUGAAAUAUUUCGAUUGAUUAAUUAAAUCGCUGAUUGUAAAGUCUCCAUUGGUUAUCAUCCCAUAACCCUUUAUCGUUCCAUAAGAGUUGUUACCAUACUUGACACUGCCACCGUUUUGAAGUGAUCGAAACUCCCUUAGCUCUUCCUUCCUUCCUGUCAUGUGACCUCAGCUGCCACUGUCUAUGUACCAUUCUUCGUCAAACUGCUCGUCACUUAUAACCUGCAAAAAUUAAGCAGAUUUAGGAACCCAAAGUUUCUUGGGUCCUCGUGAGCCUUUUACAGAAACAGGAAUAGUAAGAGAAACAUCAACAAGAUAUGUUCGUUUUAUUAAGGUUGUUUCAUCUUUCCUCUUAAUAGUAAACACUUUGAUUUUAUUGGAGUUUGAUGCAGUUAUUUCGGAUUCAGGUUUGGGAGUUUGGACUUUAGCUUGCUUUCGGUCUUCAUCUGCUGAGGAAAUCUUCCUUUUUCCUUUUAAAUCCUUCGUCGAUUGUGAGCUUGGUGUAGGACGAGAAUUAGGCUUAGAAGAAGAAUGAGAACGAGAAGAAUUAGAGGAAUAGAAGUUAGAAUGAGAAUCUUUCCUGACUUGAGGUUCGAAAUGACCCUUUCGGUUGGGACCAUUUGAGGGACCGAACCUGGACCUUCGGUUGCUAUUUGUUGAUGGACCGAAACUGGCUUUUCGGUUGUUGUGGGUUGCUGGACCGAAACUGGGUCUUCUGCUGUAAAAGCUUGAUGGACUGAACUCUGGUCUUUGUCUGUUGUUGUUUGGUGGACCGAAACCAGGCUUUCGGUUGUUGUUACUUUCGGGACCGAACCUAUCCUUCCGAUUUUGUUCUUCCUGUGGCCCGAAAGUCUUCUUCUAGUUCUUUUGAUCCAAUGGACUGAAGCUCCUUUUACUCUUAUUUUCUUCUCCUUUUGGCUUGGAGUUUCUAUCAAAGUGAGUAUAGUGAGGAUUUUGGGAGCGCCAAAAUUACUUUUGCUCUGAGAGAUUUUUCUUGUAUCUCAGAUUUCUCUGUUGCUUUUGAUUUUUCACUUGUUUCGGUUGUCUGUGAAUAUUUGCCUUCUGUUUCGGCUUCUGAGCAACAGGUUCACUUUUCAUGGAAGAGGUUUCGCUUGUUGAGGAGACAUAUUCCUCUGGAACCUCUUUUGUGCCACUGGAACUGGGCACGUCAAAGUUGGUAGGUUUAUUUAGUGGUUCUGCCACAUAUGUACCUUUGGCCUUCCAAGAUGUGCGCUCCGACAAACCAACCGUUUCAUCUGCGUUGUCUAUCGGUGCAGACAUGAAAAACUCAUCACUACCAUCUGCAUUAUCUUCGUUCACCAAUGCAGUGAGUUCGGCUCUCUAAUGUUCGGUUACUCCUGUGACCUUAUAAACCUGAUUGGGAGUGGUUCUAACUUUUUGGUAUACAACGGCCUUUUCAUUAAGGAUUGGGGACUUAUUUUUGGACAGACGAGCGAAUUCCACAGAAUNGACGAGCGAAUCCACAGAAUUUUCAGAAAUCAAGUUUUUGUGGUUUUCAGGUUCGCUCCUAAUUAACUCUGAACAGUCAACCUCAUCCUUUACAGAGAUUUCACUCAUGUCAUCGUCCUCAUUAAGUUCAGAUGCAUUUUCAACAUGAAUUUUAUUUUCUGAACAUAAUUUGGUACUCAAUGAGUCAAAUUUUUGUAUAGUUUCGGGUCUGAGUUUCAACUUAUCAUUUUCAUCCAAAAGAUUUUUAAGCAUGUCCUUAUGGUCUUUGGACUUUAUAAAAGAUUCAAUUUUUUCAAGACCAUACAUAUAAGUGGGAUUUACAUCAUCUGAAGAUACAACACUUUCACAGUUGUAUGCUUCGGCAUCGAUUGCAUCCUCCUUUAACUCAAGGAAGGGAAAAAUCAUGCGAUGUAUCUUCUGGCCUAUUUCACAGUCUAAAUGCAGCUGAGUAUUGUUAGUAUAAAGUCUUUUUGCAAUUAAACAAAAAUCAUUCCUCUGUUUUAACAAUUUAAGAUUGUCUCUCUGCAAAUAGAUAUUUCAUCCCUAGAUUUAACCAGCUCCAACUCCUUCUGCUUGUAACACCAUAAAUUUCAAAACAAUUUUUCGCAUUUUAUAAAACACAAAUCAUUUAGCAUUCAUAAAACAUUAAUGUUUGAAACUCAAUCCAUGCUAUAUAAAAUUCCCAUGAUCUGAUAACAUAAAAAUCCCGUGUGUGUGUACUGAUCAAGCCAGUACCUUCCCCCGGUCAUCACUAGUACUUGAAACAAAUGACACCAACACUGUAAGCACAAAGCUUAGUGAGUUCCCCAAAAUACCACGCAUAACACAUAUUAGCCACUCACGGCUAUAACUCUGUGGGUCCGUGGACCCUACUCUGUGAACCCUCUGGUUCUAACUCUGUGAACCUUCCGGUUCCAACUCUAUAACAUGCACAACAUAAAUCACAUAGAAAAUGAAGUACAACACAUAACAUACAUAUAGCAUACAAAUACUCUGUCACAUAACUCUGAUUACCUACUCAAGGUAAAGUAUAGUGAGAAGACUCACCUCGCGUAUCUCGAUAACUCGCAAAUCCCGGAAAUCACUCGCGCUCGAUCCCCCGAGCUAUAAUCCUCCUAUAACACAAUAUAUCUCUAAUUAACACUUUCACAACUAAGGUUGACUACCCCUAUCAAGUCAACACUGGUCAACUCUGGUCAACGGUCAACGGUCAACUUUGACCGGACUCGGCGAGUGCACUAGAGCGACUCGGCGAGUCUAUACGUGUUCACUGACUCCCUAGGAUCCUCUCUUGACACGUCGAGUACUUCCCUGACUCGACGAGUUCCACCUGGCAUGAAUCGCGGGGCCACCACGACUCAACUCGCCGAGUCUCAAGAACAACUCGGCGAGUUCCAGCUUGACUCAGUCCACCCGUCAACCCUCUCUGACUCUCCCUGACUCACUGAGUCAACCCCUUAACUCGGCAAGACCACUCGCUGAGUGGUUAUGGACAAUCUUCAUGCUACUCGCCGAGUCUGUUCUUCGGACUUGGCGAGUCUAUGACAUGCAUGAACUCAAACUCACUCCGGAGGUCAGAUCCGUUCCAAUAACUCAUAGAUCCAGUCCUUCCAAGCACAUACAUCACGUAAAGUUACAAUCUUGGUGCUCAUGCAAAGGUCCAAAGGCCUUAUUUGAUGAUAUGGUCUCUAGAAUGUUAUUCUAAGCUCAUGGCCUCCAUUAACACUCAUAAAGCUUGAGGGAAAAGAGUCUCUGGACCUCUUUGGGUCCAGAUCUAAAGCACCAACACAAGAAGAGGCCAAUUACUCCAUGGAUCAUUCCACAAAGAAACCCUAACUCUAAGAUUUACACCAAGGACUGAAAAAGGAACGAACGGUUACCUCAAAUGAAGUCUCUGAGAUCAGGAAUCACUGGAUUAGCACCUUCUUUGGUCUCCUCUUGCCUUGAUGCUCUUCUAUAAGCAAAAACACCCAUAAAUAGUCAAGGAUCUUCCUCUUCUCUCCAACAAAACGCU
rnacentral:lncRNA from 1 species